rnacentral:rRNA from 1 species
AUUGAACGCUGGCGGCAGGCCUAACACAUGCAAGUCGAGCGGAAGAAGGGAGCUUGCUCCUGGAUUCAGCGGCGGACGGGUGAGUAAAGCCUAGGAAUAUGCCUGGUAGUGGGGGAUAACGUCCGGAAACGGGCGCUAAUACCGCAUACGACCUGCGGGAGAAAGUGGGGGAUGUUCGGAACUCACGCUAUCAGAUGAGCCUAGGUCGGAUUAGCUAGUUGGUGGGGUGAGGGCCUACCAAGGCGACGAUCCGUAAGUGGUCUGAGAGAAUGAUCAGUCACACUGGAACUUAGACGCCGUCCAUACUCCUACGGGAGGCAGCAGUGGGGAAUAGUAGACAGUGGGCGAAAGCCUGACCCAGCCAGGCCGCGUGUGUGAAGAAGAUCUUGGGAUCGGAAAGCACGCUUAGGGGUGAUGAACGGCUGUAAGUUAAUACCUUGCUUGUGUGACGGUACUAACAGAAGAAGCACCGGCUAACUACGUG